UGAAGAUGGGGCAAGAAUUUGUGGAGUC
rnacentral:piRNA from 1 species